UACAGAGGUCUCGAGCGUUGUUCGGAUUCAUUGGGCGUAAAGGGCGCGUAGGCGGCGGGGCAAGUCGGGUGUGAAAUCUCAGAGCUCAACUCUGAAACUGCACUCGAUACUGCUUUGCUUGAGGACUGGAGAGGAGAUUGGAAAUUCACGGUGUAGCAGUGAAAUGCGUAGAUAUCGUGAGGAAGACCAGUGGCGAAGGCGGAUCUCUGGACAGUUCCUGACGCUGAGGCGCGAAGGCCAGGGGAGCAAACGGG
rnacentral:rRNA from 1 species